UCCUCCAAGGCUAAAUACUCCUGACUGACCGAUAGUGAACCAGUACCGUGAGGGAAAGGCGAAAAGAACCCCGGCGAGGGGAGUGAAAAAGAACCUGAAACCGUGUACGUACAAGCAGUGGGAGCACAGAGCAAUCUGUGUGACUGCGUACCUUUUGUAUAAUGGGUCAGCGACUUAUAUUCUGUAGCAAGGUUAACCGAAUAGGGGAGCCGAAGGGAAACCGAGUCUUAACUGGGCGUUAAGUUGCAGGGUAUAGACCCGAAA
rnacentral:rRNA from 1 species